GAUGAACGCUGGCGGCGUGCCUAAUACAUGCAAGUCGAGCGAAUGGAUUAAGAGCUUGCUCUUAUGAAGUUAGCGGCGGACGGGUGAGUAACACGUGGGUAACCUGCCCAUAAGACUGGGAUAACUCCGGGAACCCGGGGCUAAUACCGGAUAACAUUUUGAACCGCAUGGUUCGAAAUUGAAAGGCGGCUUCGGCUGUCACUUAUGGAUGGCCCCGCGUCGCAUUAGCUAGUUGGUGAGGUAACGGCUCACCAAGGCAACGAUGCGUAGCCGAGCUGAGAGUGUAAUCGACCACGCGGUGUCUGAGACACGGCCCAUACUCCUACGGGAGGCAGCAGUAGGGAAUCUUCCGUAAUGGACGAAAGUCUGACGGAGCAACGCCGCGUGAGUGAUGACGGCUUUCGGGUCGUAAAACGCUGUUGUUAGGGAAGAACAAAUGCUAGUUGAAUAAGCUGGCACCUUGACGGUACCUAACCAGAAAGCACGGCUAACUACGUGCCAGCCGCCGCAGUAA
rnacentral:rRNA from 1 species